rnacentral:tRNA from 1 species
GCAUAUAUAGCUCAGUGGUAGAGUGGGUGUUUAGCAUGCACAAGGCCUUGGGUUCAAACCCCACCAUCA